rnacentral:lncRNA from 1 species
GCAGCCUCGACGGUCCCUGCGCCACAUCCGCCCACAUCCGACCCUUCUUAACCGCCUUCAGAUAAGGUCGUGCCCCCUUAUCGCCCAAGCCCACCGCCUUCGUCUUCCCCGGUUCAGCUGGACCCCGCGUGUCCAUCCUCCACAACGACCGAAGUAUUUGGUAAAAUGCUCCACCGGUAGCACGAAGAUUGAUGCACCUUCCUAAGCGACGUGGACCCCCCCCCCCC